CUCCAGGUAAGUUUAAAGUUCAAUACACAGGUGAGUAUUCACAGGGCUGGGCUGUUAGCGUGCAGGGGUUCUAGCUCUCAGGUAAGUACAGUGUUCAAUACACAGGUGGGUAUUCACAGGGCUGAGCUGUUAGCGUGCAGGGGUUCUAGCUCACAGGUAAGUACAGAAUUCAAUACACAGGUGAGUAUUCACAGGGCUGGGCUGUUAGCGUGCAGGGGUUCUAGCUCUCAGGUAAGUACAGUGUUCAAUACACAGGUGGGUAUUCACAGGGCUGAGCUGUUGGCGUGCAGGGGUUCUAGCUCUCAGGUAAGUGCAAAGCUCAAUACACAGGUGAGUAUUCACAGGGCUGGGCUGUUAGCGUGCAGGGGUUCUAGCUCUCAGGUAAGUACAGAG